rnacentral:piRNA from 1 species
UAAGCUAGAAAAUGGAUAAAU